CUACAGAACUCGAGAGGGAACUGGAUGUUAAAUCAGAAGUCAGCCGAGGUCAUAGUAGAGACAACUCGAAGGAC
rfam:Burkholderiales bacterium YL45, complete genome.